AUGAACGCUGGCGGCGUGCCUAAUACCUGCCAGUCGCGCGAACAGACGAGGAGCUUGCUCCUCUGACGUUAGCGGCGGACGGGUGAGUAACACGUGGAUAACCUACCUAUAAGACUGGGAUAACUUCGGGAAACCGGAGCUAAUACCGGAUAAUAUAUUGAACCGCAUGGUUCCAUAGUGAAAGACGGUUUUGCUGUCACUUAUAGAUGGAUCCGCGCCGCAUUAGCUAGUUGGUAAGGUAACGGCUUACCAAGGCAACGAUGCGUAGCCGACCUGAGAGGGUGAUCGGCCACACUGGAACUGAGACACGGUCCAGACUCCUACGGGAGGCAGCAGUAGGGAAUCUUCCGCAAUGGGCGAAAGCCUGACGGAGCAACGCCGCGUGAGUGAUGAAGGUCUUCGGAUCGUAAAACUCUGUUAUUAGGGAAGAACAAAUGUGUAAGUAACUAUGCACGUCUUGACGGUACCUAAUCAGAAAGCCACGGCUAACUACGUG
rnacentral:rRNA from 1 species